rnacentral:rRNA from 1 species
AAACAGGCGGGGCCGUGGUUUGCCGAGUUCCUUCAUUUUCUUUUAAUCUUUCUUGAAAUGCGCUUGUGUUAGGUUAACAGAUCAUGUAGAAGAUUUUGCUUGUAAAGUUUCUUCUUUAGUAGAAGGCUGUUAAUAGUCAGUGCUGAGUUCAGGCCUGACUCAUGCAUGCAUUUAGAGAAGGCUAGCUUCUUGUUACUAGUUUUAACAUAGAAAAUUCUAUGGGUGGGCAUAGAAUUACUCAAUACUGAUGUGGGGUUCGGAGAAAAUCAAGUUAUUAGUUUUGGACGUAAAUAAGCUUUGACGCUGUAGUGGAUGGCUGCUUUUAGGCCUACAAAUUUACGUCGUAUUGAAUGGCUUACCCGGUGGUGGAGGUUGCACCCUGCCCCAAAUAAGCUGUACCUUAUUUGGGUAGCAUAAAAGUCUUGGGUUCAUUUUAUUGAAUUAAGGGGGACUUUUAGUGGAACUAAAAUUCUUUUCUUGAGUAACCAGCUAUCGCUAAG